CCGACUUGCAUCACCACGAGAACACUGAGCACAGACCAGCCUUCGAAGGCAAACAUUUGGCUAAAACCUUGAUCUUGCUUGCUGAUUCCACCUGACUGAUGCCACCGUUGAAAGACAAAUAGGAACACAUGGAGAAUGUGACUUUCAGGGAAUGAAUAAGACUGUAAGCUUCAUAAGGGCAGAGACCCUGCAGUGACUCCAGUGCCUGGACAGCAUUGUACACAUGCUGGGCAAACAGUUCACCUUCUAGAGCAACAACAGAACGUAGAGGCUAUUCAUGACCAGGACAUGCUCAUCCAAUGAAACUUCACAUCCCAUCUCAGAGUUACAAUAGAGGAAUUUGAUCUCAUCAAGGGGGCCAGAGGACAAUUCCCUAAAGAAGUAAUGAUUGAGCUGAGUUCCCAGGUAAGGGGGAAUGAAGGAGAGAGCUGGAACUUUCCAGGUGGGGCAAAUAGACCCAAGGACCCGGCCUUGACCCUGAGGACAGCAGACACCUCUGCAGUGUUUUGGGCAAGGAGUGAUAUAAUCUGGUUUGUGCUUCAAAAGGACCAGUAGAUUAUGACCAUUAGAC